rnacentral:rRNA from 1 species
CGUGUAGGCGGUUUGCCGAGUCAGGCGUGAAAGCCCCGGGCUUAACCUGGGAACUGCGUUUGAUACGGGCAGGCUAGAGGUUGGAAGAGGAGAGUGGAAUUCCCAGUGUAGAGGUGAAAUUCGUAGAUAUUGGGAAGAACACCAGUGGCGAAGGCGGCUCUCUGGUCCACACCUGACGCUGAGGCGCGAAAGCGUGGGGAGCAAACA